GAUGAACGCUGGCGGCGUGCCUAAUACAUGCAAGUCGAGCGAACAGACGAGGAGCUUGCUCCUCUGACGUUAGCGGCGGACGGGUGAGUAACACGUGUAUAACCUACCUAUAAGACUGGGAUAACUUCGGGAAACCGGAGCUAAUACCGGAUAAUAUAUUGAACCGCAUGGUUCAAUAGUGAAAUACGGUUUUGCUGUCACGUAUAGAUGGAUCCGCGCCGCAUUAGCUAGUUGGUAAGGUAACGGGUUACCAAGGCAACGAUGCGUAGCCGACCUGAGAGGGUGAUCGGCCACACUGGAACUGAGACACGGUCCAGACUCCUACGGGAGGCAGCAGUAGGGUAUCUUCCGCAGUGGGCGAAAGCCUGACGGAGCAAGGCCGCGUGAGUGAUGAAGGUCUUCGGAUCGUAAAACUCUGUUAUGAGGGAAGAACAAAUGUGUAAGUAACUAUGCACGUCUUGACGGUACCGAAUCAGAAAGCCACGGCUAACUACGUG
rnacentral:rRNA from 1 species